rnacentral:lncRNA from 1 species
ACAGUCCUUAACCUGUCACUUUGACUGGGCGCCCGCCCCCGCUCCUCGCCCCCGCCCCCUCCUCGCUCCUCUGCCAGUUCAGUUCCUUAGUGACACGGUGGGAGUUGAUUGAACAGUUGCCGUGCAGGCACAGUUUGGGAGAGGAGGAAAUCCUGCCGAAAACUGUUGACGUUUAAAUGGAUGGAGGAGAAACGGGCCUCUUCCCCCCGAAAACCCAUGACGCCCCGGCCGGGCUUUGUGUCUCCACGCUGUAGCGAGGCCCCGAAGUGACGGAGGAACACAGAGAGGAUCUAAUCUGGCAGCCGUGUUCUGGAAGAGGAGCAAGAGAGAGGAAAAAGGAAGAGACGUACAGAGACCUACCGCUAGAGAACAAGGAGGAUAUAACAGACAUGUACACCCCGCCCCCUCGCAUGACCACGGUGGCAACCAAAGCCCUCAAUGCUGGGCACGGAUGCUCCCUAACCCUGGACCUGAGCCGUAGUUGCGCCCUUGGGACGUGAGCCUGUUUUCAGCGAGGAGCUGGAAAUGAUGGCAAACGUCUGAAUCCAAAGCAAUACAAAACGUGCAACAGGAAAGAUGCUGUGUGUUUGUCUGUGCGCGCCUGUGUGCGUCUUACACCACGAAAGAGCCCCGCUUCACUGGUGCGGGAGGACAGAGGGACCAAACCGGUCCUGUCUCGUCUGGAAGGGCCCGGUGUGUGUG